UGGACAACAGGAGUGAAACUCUGUCUCCAAAAUAAAUAAAUAAAUACAAUUUUUUAAAAAUACAAAAAUUAGCCAGGUGUGGUCACAUGCCUGUAGUCUCAGCUACUUGGAAGGCUGAGGCAGAAGAAUCGCCUGAACCUGGGAGGUGGAGGUUGCAGUGAGCCGAGAUCGUGCCACUGCACACCAGCCUGGGCAACAGAGACAGAGACUCUGUCUGAUUGUUUAAAAUAAAAAAUAAUAAUAAUAAUAAAAAAGACUCCACAGUCUCUAGAUUUCAAUUUGUUGUGCUCCUGACAGCCCUGGAAGCCCUUCUGGGAAGGGUUGAGGGCCGCUCCCCACCCCUCAACCGAACAAGCACCCAUAGGCCGUGGGGCCAGCCGCCAUUGCUCCUACCAGCAGCUCAGGCCAAAGCCCGCAGAGACAAGCUCUUCACAACCCUCACUCCCUCCUCUGUGGGGACAGACAGGGCCUGUGAAAGACUCCAAUCACUCCAGCUUCCAGUGAUCCUACAAGCCUUUCUGCUCUAAAGGAGAGCUGAGAAAUACAACAUAUGCAUUCUUUCAACCCCAGUGCCUCUACCCUGGGAUGGGGUGCUAAGGGGCAGCCAGGCCCCUCAGAUGUCCAGCUGGGAUCAAACUGGCAGAGCCCAUCAACAGAUGAGUGGAUAAAGAAAAAUGUGAUAAGACAGUGGCACUCUGAGAGGCUCAAAAGGAAGCUUCCUCCCCAAAAGCCAUCCCCAGCAUAACCGUAAAACAAAAAUGGCGCAUCUCAGAAGGACCUUGGUGGUGUCGUUGGAAGGUUGAUCAACAAGAAUGACACCUGCAAGCUGUAAUUGCACUUGCAUUCCCUGAAAUACGGUAGGUGCCCCAUAAACAUCUGAUGGGAUGAAUUAAUAAGCGAAUGAGCUCUUUACUCAAUGGUCCAACCCCAAACCAGCAUCCCUCAACCAGUCCUUCCAUAACCAUCUAGGUGAGGGGGGAUUGUUGAUGGAAAAAGGCAAGAACCAAAUUUGCAAACUCCCCUGUUGGCUUCACAAUAAUUCAUGCUCAUCUGCAUCUAAUAAAAUAUGGAAGCAAUUUUACAGGAACAUUUUGUGCUUUAGCGAUUCAUUUAACUCUUUCCUCCAGGGGGCAAGUCAUAUAUCCUCAUCCAGGUAUGUGGGCAGUUCUGUGAAUACAUCUGCAAUUAUCUUAAGAUGUGAUGCUCUUCUCCCCGCUGGAAGCCUGACUCUAAUGAAGGAAAACUUGAAAGUGAACACCAACCGGGCUUAUGCUGACCUCCUCUCCUACCCAUGGUUUCGUGCCCCUGUGUCUGUCCCACUGCCAAAGGCCUCCAAGAGAUGAGCUGCUGUCUACCCCAUCAGCCCUCACCACCAGACCACCAGGAACGACAGAUGCUCAGGUGCCAGAUCUGCUGCCACCGUCCCCCAAGACACCACAAACAGUCCCUUCACUGCUUCCAGUUGUGUCCGCCUCUGCGCGCUGCCCCCAAACUCCUUGCAGAUUUGAGAACUGAUGAAAAAAAAUGAGUAACACCUGCCCCGAGCCGCCUAUUGCUCCAUUCACGUCCUGAUCUUCUGGGAAAUCAGUAUUUUUAAAUUGAACUUUUCAUUUUCAGAUGAUUGUAGAUUUAUAUGCGGUUGUAAGAAAUAAUACAGAGAGCUCAUGAACUCCCUUACCUGGUUUCCCCACAGUGGUAGCAUCUUGCAAAACUGUAGUACAAAUUGAGUCACUUUUUUUUUUUUUCUGAGACAGAGUCUCGCCCUGUCUGGAGGCUGGAGUGCAGUGGCGUGAUCUCAGCUCACUGUAACCUCCACCUCCCAGGUUCAAGCGAUUCUCCUGCCUCAGCCUCCCAGUUAGCUGGGAUUACAGGUGCCCACCAUCACCCCUGGCUAAUGUUUUUAUAUUUUUAGAAGAGAUGGGGUUUCAUCAUGUUGGCCAGGCUGGUUUCAAACUUCUGACCUCAGGUGAUCCACCUGCCUCAGCCUUCCAAAGUGCUAAAAUUACAGGUGUGAGUCGCCGCACCUGGCCCAAUUUUUUUUUUUUUAUUUUUUUUUAGGAGACAGGACCUUACUCUGUGGCCCAGGCUGGAGUGCAGCAGCACAAUCAUAGCUCACUGCAACCUCUACCUCCUGGGCUUAAGCAGUCCUCCCCAGCUUCAGCCUUCCAGGUAGCUGGGACUACAGGUACGCACCACUAUGCUCGGCUAAUUUUUAAAUAUUUUUUGUAGAGAUGGGGUCUUGCUAUGUUGCCCAGGCUGGUCUCAAACUCCCAGCCUCAAGCGAUCCUCCCACCUUGGCUUUCCAAAAUGUUGGGAUUACAGGCAUGAGCCACCACUCCUGGCUAGUCAGCAAUUCUUUUUAAUGUAAUAUCCCAUCCUUAUUUUAUAAUAUUUGGUAGGAAGCUUAUUUUCACCAAACAGAUUCUUGACCCCACCUGCCCACUCUAAAAUCUGCUUGACUUGUUUACCCAAUAUUUCCCAUCUGGAUAAAGGGCGCUCAUUGUGCAAGUCCCAGCCCACAUGCAGGAGUGAUUCCUCUCUCUUCCCUGCUUUCUCCCACCCAAAUCCCAAGUAUCAGCCAGUCUUAUGGAUCCUAGCCAAAAAGUCCGAAAUUCACCCACUUCUCACAUCCUCUUCCAUGAUGACCCUGACAUUACCCACUGGCCCUGCCCUUCAGCAGAACUCCCUGUGGAACUUCUGGGGCCCAGUGAAAAACCAACACAGGGAGCCCUCUGUACAAAAAUUAUUAAGAAUUUCAAGCCAGGCAUGGUGGCCUCAACCUGGGAGUUCAAGACUAGCCUAGGCCACAUAGCAAGACCCCAUCUCUACAAAAAAAGUAUUUUAAUUAACUGGGCGUGGUGGCCACACCUGUAGUCCCAACUACUCAGGAAGCUGAGGCAGGGGAUUCAUUGGAGCCCAGGAGCUUGAGGCUGCAGUGAACUGUGAUCACGUCACUGCAGUCCAGCCUGGGCAACAGAGAAAGAGACCCUGUCUGUAAAAAAAUUAAAAGAAUUCAAUAUGGCGGCAUCCAUGCAUUAAUCUGGUCCAGGGAUUAAUCCUUCUACAUCCCUGACUCUGUGGAUUGCACAGGUCCACACACAUGAAGCUGGCCCUGCCCCUCCAAGACCACCAGGAACACACUGACAGCUGAACAAAGUGGGUUUAUUGAUGCCAUACAAGAAGAGCACACAGACCAUGGAAACCCCUAGGGCACCUCAGUAAGGAUGUAUUUAGGAUUCAUGCUGCUGUUGUAUGCUUUGGAAAAUAGCACAAGGAAGCAAGGCUUUGCUCUGGAUUGUGUGCUCUUAAGAACCAGGUCAUUCCACAAUUGAGCACCUUUUUUUUUCUUUUUUUAAAUUUAAUUUUAUUUUGUGUUCCAGGAUACAUGUGCAAAACAUGCAGGUUUGUUACAUAGGGAAAUGUGUGCCAUGGUGGUUUGCUGCACCUAUGGAACCAUAGGUAUUAAGCCCCGCAUGCAUUAGCUGUCUAUCUGGUGCUCUCCCUCCCCUGCCCCUCCAACAGGCCCUAGUGUGUGGUGUUCCCCUCCCUGUGCCCAUGUGUUCUCAUUGUUCAGCUCCUACUUAUAAGUGAGAAAUGCAGUGUUUGGUUUUCUGUUCCUGCAUUAGUUUGCUGAGGAUAAUGGCUUCCAGUUCCAUCCAUAUCUCUGCAAAGGACAUGAUCUCAUUCCUUUUUAUGGUUGUGUAGUAUUCCGUGGUGCGUAUGUACCACAUUUCCUUUAUCCAGUCUAUCAUUGAUGGGCAUUUGCGUUGAUUCCAUGUCUUUGCUAUUCUGAAGAGUGCUGCAAUGAACAUAACGUGUGCAUGUAUCUUUAUAAUAGAAUGAUUUCUAUUUCUUUGGGAAUAUACCCAGUAAUGGGAUUGCUGGGUCAAAUGGUAUUUCUGCUUCUAGGUCUUUGAGGAAUCGCCACGCUGUCUUCUACAAUGGUUGA
ensembl:lincRNA